rnacentral:rRNA from 1 species
UCCAGCCUGCCCAGUGACAAAGUUCAACGGCCACGGUACCCUAACCGUGCGAAGGUAGCAUAAUCACUUGUUCUUUAAAUGAGGACUAGUAUCAACGGCACCACGAGGGUUGCACUGUCUCCUUUUUCAUAUCAGUGAAACUAAUCUCCCCGUGAAGAAGCGGGGAUACCCCUAUAAGACGAGAAGACCCCAUGGAGCUUAAAGCCCAGCUACACCCCUGGCUCUUAUAACCCACUUAACUUUCCCCCAGGCCCUAUGUAGCUAGUUUUCGGUUGGGGCGACCACGGAGUAUAACAAAACCUCCACAAUGAACGGGACUAACCCCUUAUCUAAGACCAACACCCCUAAGAAUUAGAACACUAACAUAAAAUGAUCCAUUAUUUGAUCAAUGAACCAAGUUACCCUGGGGAUAACAGCGCAAUCCAUUUUAAGAGCCCUUAUCGACAAAUGGGUUUACGACCUCGAUGUUGGAUCAGGGUAUCCUAGUGGUGCAGCAGCUACUGACGGUUCGUUUGUUCAACGAUUAAAACCCU